AGCGAACGCUGGCGGCAGGCCUAACACAUGCAAGUCGAACGAAGUCUUCGGACUUAGUGGCGGACGGGUGAGUAACACGUGGGAACGUGCCUUUAGGUUCGGAAUAACUCAGGGAAACUUGUGCUAAUACCGAAUGUGCCCUUCGGGGGAAAGAUUUAUCGCCUUUAGAGCGGCCCGCGUCUGAUUAGCUAGUUGGUGAGGUAAAGGCUCACCAAGGCGACGAUCAGUAGCUGGUCUGAGAGGAUGAUCAGCCACAUUGGGACUGAGACACGGCCCAAACUCCUACGGGAGGCAGCAGUGGGGAAUCUUGGACAAUGGGCGAAAGCCUGAUCCAGCCGUGCCGCGUGAAUGAUGAAGGCCUUAGGGUUGUAAAGUUCUUUUAGUAGUGAGGAUGAUGACGGUAACUACAGAAAAAGCCCCGGCUAACUCCGUGCCAGCAGCCGCAGUAACAC
rnacentral:rRNA from 1 species